UUUUUUUUUUUUUUUUGGCAAGGGUGCAUUAAGUGGUGUUGAGUACUUCUAUCAGAAGGCUCAAAAUGCCUUGUCUUUCUUUUUUGUGAUUCUAGCAAGCACUAAUGAUCACUGCCUAUACCCAUUAUUUCAGUAGAACUUAUAGUUGUUUUUUGUUUGUUUGUUUUUGAGACUCUGUUGCCAAAGUUGGAGUGUAAUGGUGUGAUCUUGGCUCAUGCAGCCUCCACCUCCUGGGCUCAAACCAAUCCUCCUCCCUCAGCCUCCCUAGUAGCUAGAACUACAGGCACAUGCCACCACGUCCAGACAAUGUUUUGUUUUAUUUCAUUUGUAGAAAUGAGGUUUCACCAUGUUGCUCAGGCUGGUCGCAAACUCUUGAGCUCAAGUGAUCAGCCCACCUUGGCCUCCCAAAGUGCUGGGAUUAUAGGCGUGAGCCACCACACCUGGCCAGAAUUUAUAGAUUGUUGAUCCUCUAAUUCUAUCAUUCCUUCUUCACUAGCUGGAAUACUUGCAUAAAAAGAAAUGUCCCCUUAUCAACAAUUUAAUCGCUGAGAUAGAGUUAUAGAAAAAGGGAAGAUAAAAGUAAGAUAAUCUUACAUGAGAUAGACCUCUUGCAACUUCACUGUUCUUUCCUAGUGUAGGUGUUCCAGCCCAGCAUUAAAAUCUCUCCUUCCCCAAUACCAUUGGUGCUCUGGGCCUCUCUCCUUUUGUCCUGCUUGGCUGGAAAAACCUGACCCUGAGAGGCCUGUAUCUCUCACCUUCCCUAGGCCUGCUGCUGAGCUGGUGAGCAUUGCUAGAAGAAAAUUGCAAAGCAUGGCUGGCUGGUUUCAUGGGCCUCCAGCACGCACCCAACACAGCUCCUGGGCCAACUGUGUGCUCUGUGAGACCAUCGCUACUUGAGAUGCAACUAGUGAGACCAAGCAACUACAUUUCCAUUCUUAUUUAAUUUUAAUUAACUUAAAUAUAAGCAGCCCCAUGUGACUAAUGCAGGUUAUGGAACAUUUCCAUGAUUCCAGAAAGUCCUGUUACACUAGGUUAGGAAACUUGACUUCCCACUGCCCCAGACAACCAGUUCAUAGCCUUUCCCCCUUGCCUUAAAUCUCCCCAACCAUUUUCUCCACUCUCCCUUCAUUCUUCCUUAAGAAUAAAGAAUAUAAAAGCUUCCAGGUGAGCUCUCCAUUCUUUACUGAGAAUAUAAAAGCUCCUAAUGGAAGCUGGCCCAGUCUCCAACCUCAACUCCUCUAAACCUAUGCACACUUGCCACUGUGGAGGAAUGUCCAUCUUCCUAUGGAAGCCAAAGCGUUUAUGAUGAUGCAAGCCCAGGUCCCUUUUGAAUUAUCAAGGACUCUGUCCCUUCACUUAUCCCCUUCUCUUCUGCAUCAUUCAUCUCCCCCACUCUACUGGAACACUUCCAUCAGCAAGCAGAUGUUCUGUCUUUCAUCUUAAAAAAUCCUCCUCUAUCCCCACUUCUUCUAGUUCUCUGGUCCCCAUUCAUAAAUAAACAUGUUGAAAGUGUCACUGUAUCAGUGGUUCUCAAUGUGUGGUUCUCAAGCUCUCAGCAUCAGCAUCACUUGGGAAUUAGUUAGAAACUCAAAUUCCUAGGUACCACCCCAGACUCACUGAGUCAGAAACUCUGGACCCAGAAAUCUAGGCUUUACAAGCUCAACAGGUGAUUCUGAUAAUUGUUUGAGAACCUCAAUAUAUUCUACAAUAUGUGCCACACUUGUCACUUUUUCCUUUACUCUUCCUUCCAUGGAACUCCUUCCCCCUUUGGUUUUCAUCCUCAACUCUUCCUCAGAACUUGGCCCUGGCCCUUUCAUCUUCUCUACCUUUAUUCUGUCCCAAGGAGCUCUUACCCAUUUCUUAGUGUUAAAUCCCAUGAAUUCAAAGUCAUAAAUGCAACCCACAAUUUUCUUAGAGUUCCAGAUUCUUAUGGAUCCAGUUGUUGGUAUCUCCAUCUGAAUGUCUUACAAGUAUCCCAGUAAGUCUGAAAAGGCUUGGAUGUUUCCCCUCAAUCUCUCCUUCCACAUGCCCCAGGCUUCCCCAUUUCAAUAAAUGGCGUUCAUUCAGCAGCCACAGCAAGAAACUUCCAAGUCAUGCUUGAUCCUUCCUUUCUCUCACCACCCGUCCACACGCUGUCAACUCUAACCCCGCCAGCCCACCCUGUCUUCACUCCGAUGCCACCAUCCUAGUCCCCACCCUGCAGCAUUGCUUGUCUCCCAGCUGGUCUCCUAACUCCUGCCUUGUGCCUUCCAAUCCAUUCUCUCCAUAGUAAGAAAGGGGAAUUUCUGGAAAGCUAGAAUAAAUCAUGCUAUUUAAAAAUUCUUCAACAACUUUCCACCAUGAGUAGAAAAGAAUCCAAACUCCUGCCCCAGCCCACAAGGUCCUGCUGAUCAGGCCUCUGCCUCCCUCUCUGAGCCUGUCUCCUUCCGACCUCUCCCUGGCCUCCCUCGAUCCAUCCACACCGAC
ensembl:lncRNA